rnacentral:rRNA from 1 species
UGCCCUAAGACUAAAAAAUUUAAGGUACACCCUGCCCAGUGAAUAUCUAUUAAACGGCCGCGGUAUCCUAACCGUGCAAAGGUAGCAUAAUAACUUGCCUAUUAAUUAUAGGAUAGAAUGAAGGGGUAAACGAAAUAAAAUCUGUCUCAAUUAGUAAAACGAAAAUUAUUUUUUAGUUGAAGAAAACUAAAUAAAAAUGAAGGACAAGAAGACCCUAUAGAGCUUUAUUUUAAAAUUCACAAAGAACUAUAUAAAUUCGGUUGGGGCGACCAAUGCUAUAUAAAUCAUCAAUACACAUAAGAUAAAUAAAUCUCAAUAAAGACCCUAUUCAAGAUCAAAAAAACAAGCUACCUUAGGGAUAACAGGCUAAUCUUAUUAAUGAGUCCCUAUCUAUAAUACUGGUUGGCACCUCGAUGUUGGCUUAAGGAAUCGGGGAGGCGCAGAAGCUUCUCAAGAUGGUUUGUUCAACCAUUAAACCCCUA